GAAAUGCGAUAAGUAAUGUGAAUUGCAGAAUUCAGUGGAUCAUCGAAUCUUUGAACGCACCUUGCGCUCCUUGGUAUUCCUUGGAGCAUGCCUGUUUGAGUAUCAUGAAAUCUUCAAAGUAAAUCUUUUGUUAACUCAAUUGGUUUCUACUUUGGUAUUGGAGGUCUUUGCAGCUUCACACCUGCUCCUCUUUGUUCAUUAGCUGGAUCUCAGUGUUAUGCUUGGUUCCACUCGGCGUGAUAAGUUAUCUAUCGCUGAGGACACUGUAAAAGGUGGCCAAGGUAAAUGCAGAUGAACCGCUUCUAAUAGUCCAUUGACUUGGACAAUACUUUUAUGAUCUGAUCUCAAAUCAGGUAGGACUACCCGCUGAACUUAAGC
rnacentral:misc_RNA from 1 species